GGAUUGUGGCUAAGUGGUAGAGCUAUUGCCUAGCAUGCGUGAGGUACUGGGUUCAAUCCUCAGCACCA
rnacentral:tRNA from 1 species